UACGUAGGGUGCGAGCGUUAAUCGGAAUUACUGGGCGUAAAGCGUGCGCAGGCGGUUUUGUAAGCCGGAGUGGAAAUCCCCGGGCUUAACCUGGGAAUGGCAUUUGGGACUGCAAGGCUUGAGUGCGGCAGAGGAGACUGGAAUUCCUGGUGUAGCAGUGAAAUGCGUAGAUAUCAGGAGGAACACCGAUGGCGAAGGCAGGUCUCUGGGCUGACACUGACGCUCAUGCACGAAAGCGUGGGGAGCAAACAGG
rnacentral:rRNA from 1 species